rnacentral:rRNA from 1 species
UCCGUAGGUGAACCUGCCGAAGGAUCAUUA